AUUGAACGCUGGCGGCAGGCCUAACACAUGCAAGUCGAGCGAGCGGAGGACGGGUGAGUACUGUCUGGGAAACUGCCUGAUGGAGGGGGAUAACUACUGGAAACGGUAGCUAAUACCGCAUACCCUCAGAUGUGCCCAGAGGGGAUUAGCUUGUAGGUGGGGUAAUGGCUCACCUAGGCGACGAUCCCUAGCUGGUCUGAGAGGAUGACCAGCCACACUGGAACUGCGACACGGUCCAGACUCCUACGGGAGGCAGCAGUGGGGAAUAUUGCACAAGGGGCGCAAGCCUUAUGCAGCCAUGCCGCGUGUUUGAAGAAGGCCUUCGGGUUGUAAAGCACUUUCAGCGGGGAGGCGUUACCCGCAGAAGAAGCACCGGCUAACUCCGUGCCAGCAGCCGCGGUAAUUC
rnacentral:rRNA from 1 species